UCUCCCACGAACUCUAAGACACGAUAGUUUUUACAUAAUUUUUUUUUCUUUAUUUUACAGCUUAACCCUCCCAAUGAGAGUCCCAUAAAAACCAUCCGAUGACGAAGAUCUUAACUAGAGGAUAGAAAAGUGAUGAUGCAUUUGAUGGUUGCAUCUUGUACAUAUUUCUGCAGAAGAAUCGGAAGAAGGAGAGAAAGAGAGAAGCCAUGAGAUUAAAGGAAAGGAUAAAAGGAAAGGAACGAUUUUAGUGUCGGGCACUGGGAAUAGUUUGGGGUGACCUGGAACCGUCGGGCACUCAGCGGCAAGGCGGGGGACUAAGGAAACCCUUGAAAUCAAUAGCCGGCCGCUACUGCCGCCGCCACCCUGAUCAGGCUCCGUUCUGCGCUGCACAUUCGUCCCCUCGCAUCAUCCACCUCCCUCUUUUUACAGCUUUUCUCUCUCUCUCUCUCUCUCUCCUCUGAUUUUGAUUUAUCUGCACGUCGUAGCCGAAGAAAUCAGGAGCCUCACUUCAGUUUGCGCUCGAACGUUCCGCUAGUACGGACACACGUCAUUCGUUGACUUUUUUAGCGGUGUUCCAUGUGACGGUGAAGAAGUAGGAGACUAGGGUGGGACGAUCAUGAAUCAGCCAAAAAUAAAUCAAACCUCUCUCUUUCCCUUUUCUUCUCUCCCUCUCUCUUUUCUUCUUCUCCUUAUCUUUAUCAUUUAUCUGUCAUAUUGAGGUAGUCGAUGAUAAUGUAUUUGAUAAUUUAGCAAAAGAAUGAUUCGAAGGUUUAAACUCUAAUAAAUUUAAAUAGGAACUGAAA